AGCAACUCUGCUUAAAUGUGUGCCCCGUCAUUGCCUUGUCUUGGAACACGAAAAGACCCGCAAGCAGAGGCUUGUUCGGAUGACACAGCGACGAGCCCACAGCUUUCCGCCCCAUCCAUUACCAAGAAACACACCGGGCUUUCAGAGUACGGCUCAAAGUACAAGAGUCCCCGCUUCGGGGCAGGCUCAGAGGGAAGCGAUCCCAGCAGCCGGGAGCAGAACCCCUGGGCCCCAGCGUGGCUGGGCCUGGGGCAGCCCCCUCACGGGACCCAUCCGAGCUGGCCUGGGGCAGCCCCCUCAGGGGAACCAUCCGAGCUGGCAUGCCGCUGCCUCUGUGAGAGGCUGCCGUGUCACGGUUUGCAGAUGAAGUCCAGGCUGUGGCCCAGGAACGAGAAGCGUUUCUGCUUUCCCUGCUCCCUCGCAGGCACAGCUGCACAGGGACCCGAACUGAGGUCCAACAAGAACGCCCAGUGAAAACCAGAGGUGUCUGGAAGGCAGCAGUGCAGAGCAAGGCAAAGGUAAGCUGUGAAGCAGCGCUCCGUGCCUGCCAUGCGGAUGAUCCCAGCCGUGUUCCUGCCUGGCUGUGCAGAUGCUGGCAUCCACAGGCAGGAGACACGGCCUGAACAGCGCCAAGGGCAGGAGCAUCCUCCAGGCUGCAGGGAAUUUGGAGUAUAAACAGUCCUGGCUUGACUUCCCUCUAGUGCCAGCCUGCUUUAUGAACUGACCUUGCUUGGUAAUACAACCCUUACUGCUUGAAAUCUGCCUGUUUACAGGUCUCCUGUAAAUACAGUAUAAUUCAUGUAGUAGUUAAAGUCUGGAUUAUUUUCUUCUUAAAGCUAAAUAAGGACUGCUGAAAAGGCUCAAAAAAGUUUGUCUUGACAGCAAUUAAACAUAUGGCAAACCUGCUUAGUAUGUACCUGCUUCACUUUUCUACUCACCUGCCUUCUAUCCAACAAAGCUCACAGUGCACUGGAGUUACGAGUCAUUAAUAACACCUCAGAGCUACUGAAAGUAACAGAGCUCCAACAAAUCCCUUAUGGAUAGUCUCCUUAAGAGACAAAACUAAGCCUUCCUUCAGGGCAUGCAUCCACAUAUUUUCAACUUUAUUGCUUGUCAUUCAUUUAGCAAAGCAAACGCAAAAUCUGAGCAAGAGAGCCAAACCUUACAUUGCCAUUGCUUUUGUAUUUUUGAUUUUAGAAUUGCUUACAAGCAAGUAAAUACAUGCACACUGGCCAUGUAUUCUACUUAACAGGACAAGCUGGUUUGAAAGUAGAAGUGGCUAUUCCAUGAGACAGAGCCUCAAAUACAGAACAGAGUUUUUGUUAUUGUGCCAUAUUUCAAAACACAUGUAGUUGCUCAAUCUUUAAAGUCAGAAUAUUUACUCUACUACUCUUUUUUGGCCUAUCCAUGGCCACAGCUAAUUCUUGUUCUUACAUGGUGUAGCAGGCUCCUUGGGGCACAUACAGACAUUGGCUUGGUUGUAUUCACCUUCAGAAAAAUUUGCAUGGAAAUCAUUAUUCAUUUGAUUCCACACCAUCCCUCAUUUGUUAAAAAAGUUUUCAAGGGAAAUGCCUCCAAAUGUCAUGUUGCUACAUGACAUUCAAAAUCCUAUGUAUUGCUUUCCUGUAGUGCACCGAAAUGUUUUUGCAGCAUUCAUUUUAAAACAAUACAUUCCCAUUUUUUGUAUGUAUUUGCACAUUUUAGGAGAACUUCAGGUGCAAGGAAUUAAAAGAGCAGUUGUUAUUUUAGCUUUUCCUGGUGAAGACAUUUCUAAGGGGAGUUUCCAAAGCCCAAAGAAAUUUAAUGUAUGUGAUGCUGACAAGAGUACCAAGGUGUAUGUAAUUACUGAGUGAUGAGUAAGAUUUCUGAAACAGUUAAAUACAGAGAUCGUAUGCUCUUUUUAUUGGCAUACAGUCACUACCCAUAGAAGUGCAUUUGUGUCAAAAAAAUAAUUUUCAUAUUUACAGGAAGUGACAGAAUUCCAGUUGUUGGCAGAGUAUAUAAAGCUUUUCAUACACAAUCUUUUUUAUUAUUAGACAGAGAAUAUAAAAUCUGAACUGAAAAUCAAAUUCAAUGCAUCCUGGAAACUGUAUUCCUCAACAGCUUUUCUUAAGCUUAUUUCUAGUUUCUUUCUGUCUCUCACAAGAGACAGAAAGGACAUCUAGGACAUCUGAACUGUUAUGCUACCUACUUUCCAAAAUUCCUCACUCUUCCCCAGAGCCAAGAGUGUUGUGAGAUUGGAUCAAUACAUCAUUAUUUAUAUUCCUACCAAUGCAAGCAAAAGUUGUGUGUUGUAAAUUAUGCCUUAUUUGCUAAUAAAUAUGACUGCUUACUCUAUAUGAAUGAUAUAAUUGAGGGGGGUGUUAUAAUUUAUAACUGAUUAUUUAUCUGAAACAGUGUUUUGAUAAACAUGCAUGUAUUCACUAGCAAUUAGCUUGCUUAUUAAACACAUAGUUAAAAUGCAUUUCUUUGCCCUGAAGCAGUUCAUUUCUGCAUCUUAUUUAUGAAAAAAAUUACAGUGGAAAAAAGCUGCAUAGCUGAAUUUUGAUGUAGUUAAAUGGAUUUAUCUAUUCAUGAAGACAUACUUUCCAAGCUGCCUGUACCAGUACCAUUUUUUCUUAAAAGAUUGAGCCAAUCAAAGAGAACUUACUUCGAUGUUAAGCCUUUUACCUUUUCCACAACUGGUGUCAUACCAGACCUUUUAGGCACAGAUCUCUCCCUGAAUUUAUGUUCUUCUGUAACAGUCACUGGCCUAGAGUUGGGUGUGGUUGGUUUGUUUUUUAACUUCUAUUAUUUCACACUCUUGUUUCUAAUAGCAAUAGUCAAUUUCCUUAAGCAGGUAAUCAGUGACCUCUUUCAUUCUGUGGUAAUAUUAAAAUCAAAAAUUUAGUGGCAUUGCUAAUACAUCAAUGUUAUCAGCUUUACACAAGUCAUAAUUUUUGGGAACUAAGAACCAGCUUCAAUAUUCACUACGCAUUUAAUGCAUGUGCCAAAAUGUUAAGUUAACCUAUUGUCAGUUUCCAAUGUGCACUGAGUGAUGUUUAUAAACAUGCUCCAUAAAAACAUCUAAAAUUGUGAGAUGUGUGUAAUAUGCCUGAACAUCCAAAGAUCUCUCUGAAAACUGGGUGAGGAAUAGAGUUCCAGAGCUCAACACUGCCACAUGAGAUCAGUUAAUUGCACAUAUUCCUAAUGGGGUUCAGUCUGUUUAAGUAUAGUUUGUUACAGUGACCCAUAUUUUACACAAACAGCAUAUAGUACCAGCUAGACCAAAAAAAAAAAAGGGUUAUUAAAAAGUCUAUU